GUGUGUGGAAGAGAGGAGGAAGAAGACUCUAGUUAGGAGUCUUCUUUUUCCUCCUGUUUCUGAUGAGAUCGGGGCCAUGGGAGUCCCAAAUGGUGUAGGAGAGCUUUCCUAUAAAAAGCCCUCUUCCAUCCCUUAGAUCUUCACUGUGUGGAUUGUUGAAAGAUCGCCAGCAAUCAACCAAGAUUUCUUAAGGGUUUCUCCAUAGGUUAUGGACGGAAAAAAGGUUGCCGGAGUUCU
rnacentral:lncRNA from 1 species